GAUUAAGUUAUUAAGGGCGCACGGUGGAUGCCUUGGCACUAGAAGCCGAUGAAGGACGUUACUAACGACGAUAUGCUUUGGGGAGCUGUAAGUAAGCUUUGAUCCAGAGAUUUCCGAAUGGGGAAACCCAGCAUGAGUUAUGUCAUGUUAUCGAUAUGUGAAUACAUAGCAUAUCAGAAGGCACACCCGGAGAACUGAAACAUCUUAGUACCCGGAGGAAGAGAAAGAAAAUUCGAUUCCCUUAGUAGCGGCGAGCGAAACGGGAAGAGCCCAAACCAACAAGCUUGCUUGUUGGGGUUGUAGGACACUCUAUACGGAGUUACAAAGGACGACAUUAGACGAAUCAUCUGGAAAGAUGAAUCAAAGAAGGUAAUAAUCCUGUAGUCGAAAAUGUUGUCUCUCUUGAGUGGAUCCUGAGUACGACGGAGCACGUGAAAUUCCGUCGGAAUCUGGGAGGACCAUCUCCUAAGGCUAAAUACUCUCUAGUGACCGAUAGUGAACCAGUACCGUGAGGGAAAGGUGAAAAGCACCCCGGAAGGGGAGUGAAAUAGAACCUGAAACCGUGUGCUUACAAGUAGUCAGAGCCCGUUAAUGGGUGAUGGCGUGCCUUUUGUAGAAUGAACCGGCGAGUUACGAUUUGAUGCAAGGUUAAGCAGUAAAUGUGGAGCCGUAGCGAAAGCGAGUCUGAAUAGGGCGUUUAGUAUUUGGUCGUAGACCCGAAACCAGGUGAUCUACCCUUGGUCAGGUUGAAGUUCAGGUAACACUGAAUGGAGGACCGAACCGACUUACGUUGAAAAGUGAGCGGAUGAACUGAGGGUAGCGGAGAAAUUCCAAUCGAACCUGGAGAUAGCUGGUUCUCUCCGAAAUAGCUUUAGGGCUAGCCUCAAGUGAUGAUUAUUGGAGGUAGAGCACUGUUUGGACGAGGGGCCCCUCUCGGGUUACCGAAUUCAGACAAACUCCGAAUGCCAAUUAAUUUAACUUGGGAGUCAGAACAUGGGUGAUAAGGUCCGUGUUCGAAAGGGAAACAGCCCAGACCACCAGCUAAGGUCCCAAAAUAUAUGUUAAGUGGAAAAGGAUGUGGCGUUGCCCAGACAACUAGGAUGUUGGCUUAGAAGCAGCCAUCAUUUAAAGAGUGCGUAAUAGCUCACUAGUCGAGUGACACUGCGCCGAAAAUGUACCGGGGCUAAACAUAUUACCGAAGCUGUGGAUUGUCCUUUGGACAAUGGUAGGAGAGCGUUCUAAGGGCGUUGAAGCA
rnacentral:rRNA from 1 species